rnacentral:lncRNA from 1 species
GUUCUGAGGAUUAGGACAUGGACGUCUUUGGUGGGUUACGAUUUUGUUGACCACACCAUGUGCAUCCACACUUCUUCAUUCUCAUGAGUAGCUUUUAUUGGAAUGUGAGCUCCCUGGGGCAGAGCCCGUGUCCUGCUCACCUUUGCAACCCUCUCACCUGCCACUGGAUCUCACACACACAGUGGAAGCAUCAUAGGUUUCAGAUAAACUGAGUUCAGCCAUCUCCCCUACUCCCCUAAAUUGCAUUUCUACUAUCCCUGCUAACAUCCUAAUGCUUCACUUCAAAGAGCAGAGCAGAGCAGAGAGCUUUAGACACUGCCUGGAAGGGCGUGGCUGCGCUCACCCUGCACACAUCAAUCUUCAGCCUCUCCUACCCUAGGGUGAUGCAUAUUUGAAUGGGAACUCCUGGAGACCAGAAUCCCUGAGGCUCGGAGGAGUGACAGUUUGAAGGUGGAAUGACAGGUUGCAAGACGGACUUUCUCAGGCACUUCCUCCCCGCACUGUCUGCUUGGGCAGGGCAGGAGCCUGGGUUAAACCACUCUCACCUGAGCAGGACCCAGACUGGCAUCUGGGUUGGGGCCAGCCAGUUUGAACCUCAACAAAGGCAGGAUUUAAACAAACAAACAAACAAACAAACACGUCUGCAUCACGGAUUCUGCCUCUCA